rfam:Aspergillus calidoustus genome assembly, contig: SCAF3
GCGCCGGUGGUGUACCGGUAACAUAGUUGCCUUCCAAGCAACUGCACGGGGUUCGACUCCCCGUCGGCGCA